GAUGAAGAACGUAGCGAAAUGCGAUAAGUAAUGCGAAUUGCAGAAUUUCCGUGAGUCAUCGAAUCUUUGAACGCACAUUGCGCCCACUGGUAUUCCGGUGGGCAUGCCUGUUCGAGCGUCAUUAUCCUCCCUCAAACCUCGGGUUUGGUGUUGGACCCAAGUUGUGUGAACAACUGGUCUUAAAGACAAUGACGGCGUCCGUGGGACCCUCGGUGCAACGAGCUUUUAGGAGCACGCGUCGAGUUUCAAGGACCUUCCGGGCCGGUCUCCUUUACCAUUUUACAAGGUUGACCUCGGAUCAGGUAGGAAUACCCGCUGAACUUAAGCAUAUCAAAAGCGGAGGA
rnacentral:misc_RNA from 1 species